UAUGGUAGAGAUCCAGCAGCGAGGUAUAGAGUUCCUACGUAGAUUUCAGAAAGUAGGAACUUCAUACCGUGCUCUUGGACUUGCCGAAACAU
rnacentral:pre_miRNA from 12 species